CCUACGCGUGGCCGCAGUCGGGAAUAUUGCGCAAUGGAGGAAACUCUGACGCAGUGACGCCGCGUAUAGGAAGAAGUUUUUCGGAAUGUAAACUCUUGUCGUUAGGGAAGAGAAAGGACAGUACCUAAGGAGGAAGCUCCGGCUAACUACGUGCCAGCAGCCGCGGUAAUACGUAGGGAGCGAGCGUUAUCCGGAAUUAUUGGGUGUAAAGGGUGCGUAGACGGGAAAACAAGUUAGUUGUGAAAUCCCUCGGCUUAACUGAGGAACUGCAACUAAAACUAUUUGUUUUGAGUGCAGGAGAGGUAAGUGGAAUUCCGAGGGGAGCGGUGAAAUGCGUAGAUAGUAGGAGGAACACCAGUGGCGAAGGCGACUUACUGGACAUUAACUGACGCUGAGGCACGAAGGCCAGGGGAGCGAAAGGGAUUAGAUACCCGUGUAGUC
rnacentral:rRNA from 1 species